rnacentral:rRNA from 1 species
AUGGUGGGGGAGGACCAAGUGGUGGCCUUCUUUGGUGACUUCAUGGGCGUGUCAGCCCUCAUCUCCACUUUGUCAUUGACGACAUCUACGGCCAUGACCCUCCGCCAUCCACUUACUUGGCACCUCGGUACGCAAAUUAAAUCCUUCUUCACCUGGCUGGGCCGUUUUUGUUCUGGAAUUCGGAUGCUUGAGCUGGUGGAGCAGGGUAUGAUUAUGAUCUGUGUAAUGGGUGUAGAGUGGGAGGGGCUGCCGUUCCAGUUCAGCAGGGGCUGCACCUUCUACCGCAGUGAUCCCAACCUGCAUGGGCAGCAGCAGAUUCAGAUUGUUAACUCUAUCAUCUUUCAGUACCAUGAUGUGUGUGCAUAUCUCUUUGGUUCUCAAACAAGAGCUGCAUGUCUUUCAGUUUGCACUGUGGAUGAAGUGCAGUGUUUGGAGAUGGUGGCCCAUGACGAGGAUUUCAGGGGAGAUCGUACUAUGACUAUAACAAGAGGCCGAGAUUUGACUUGCAUUGUAUGCGUAAAGCAGGUUCAAGAGCUCCGAGCCAACAAUCGCCAGAGCUUUGAAAAAGAUAUUCUUCUAAAAGUUCCACUAUUCACUUUGCUCCUCUUGAAGACGCCCUCCCUGGACAACUUGGAUUCAGUCAUCAGGUUCAUGAAUCAUGAUAGGUUUCUGCUGGAUGCCUCCUUCUCCGUCUCCAUCAUCCGCUUGCGCUUUGAGAGAGGAGUAGAUUUACCUCAAGCUCAUGAAGCAGAGAAUUGA